AAUUUGUUGAUACCUAGGAGGACUGGUAAAGGCGAAGGCAACCUUUUAUGUAAAAACUGACGUUAAAGGACGAAGGCACAGGGCACGAACAGGAUUAGAUACCCUAAUAGUCUUUGCAGAGAAUUAUGAAUGCCAUAGGUUAGAUAGAGGUCAGGUACCUAAACGAUUAAAAUAUGGAGGCUUUUUUUACCGGCUCCGCCGCUGAAAAUAAAAAAGAUACAUUUUUAUAGGUAACCGAGAUUUGUCUGUAAUUCUUCUAAACAUGGAAUUAUAAAGAUAGAUUUCUUUAGAGAUCUCGAACAUUUAGUCUAUAAACGAAAGUGUAAGCAUUUCACCUCAAGAGUAAUGUGGCAACACAGGAACUGAAAUCACUAGACCGUUUCUGACACCAGCAGUGAAGUAUGUUAUUUAAUUCGAUGAUCCACGAAAAACCUUACCACAAUUUGAAUAUUAAUAAUAAUAACAUUAUUAAUACAAGCGUUGCACGGCUGUCUUCAGUUAAUGUUGUGAAACUGUGG
rnacentral:rRNA from 1 species